rnacentral:rRNA from 1 species
AGAAUUUGAUCUUGGUUCAGGACGAACGCUGGCGGCGUGCUUAACACAUGCAAGUCGAACGGGAGUAUUGAAGAAGCUUGCUUUAGAGAUACUUUAGUGGCGGACGGGUGAGUAACGCGUGAGGAGCUGUCCUAUGCAGGGGGACAACAGCUGGAAACGGCUGCUAAUACCCCAUAAGCCGAGAGGUAAAAGGAUCAAUCCGGCAGAGGAGGUACUCGCGUCCUAUCAGCUAGUAGGUGAGGUAACGGCUCACCUAGGCGAAGACGGGUAGCCGGCCUGAGAGGGCGAACGGCCACACUGGAACUGAGAUACGGUCCAGACUCCUACGGGAGGCAGCAGUGGGGAAUAUUGGGCAAUGGGGGAAACCCUGACCCAGCGACGCCGCGUGGGUGAAGAAAUCCUUCGGGAUGUAAAGCCCUGUUGUAUGGGAAGAGCGGAAGACGGUACCAUACGAGGAAGCCCCGGCAAACUACGUGCCAGCAGCGGC